CCUACGGGAGGCAGCAGUGGGGAAUAUUGGACACUGGGGGGAACCCUGAUCCAGCGACGCCACGUUAGUGAUGAAUUAUUUCGGUAUGUAAAGCUCUAUCAGCAGGGAAGAAAAUGACGGUACCUGACUAAGAUGCCCCGGCUAAAUACGUGCCAGCAGCCGCGGUAACACGUAGGGGUCAAGCGUUAUCCGGAUUCACUGGGUGUAAAGGGAGCGUAGACGGUGCAGCAAGUCAGGUGUGAAAGGUCGGGGCCCAACCCCGGGACUGCAUUGGAAACUGUUGAACUGGAGUACAGGAGAGGUAAGCGGAAUGCCUAGUGUAGCGGUGAAAUGCGUAGAUAUUAGGAGGAACACCGAUGGCGAAGGCAGCUUACUGAACUGUAACUGACGUUGAGGCUCGAAAGCGUGGGGAGCAAACAGGAUUAGAUACCCUUGUAGUC
rnacentral:rRNA from 1 species